GCCACAAUGUUUCUUUUUUUCUACCGUCAUUGUUUGCUUCAUCCCUCUUUUUUGUAAGGGUGGUGAUAUGAUAAGUGAUAAUGACUCUCCAGAAGUUUAAAUUAUUUGAUACAUGGGAUUGGUCCAGAUGAUAUUGACUGUUCCGAUAUAACACCAGAACUUUAGCUUUCUCGGGAAUGUGACGAUGGCUUCCAUGAAAAAAUUCAUCGAAGUGACUGUCGAUGACCUACAGGAGCGUAGCAGACUCGAUGUGGCAACCGGGUUGCUCCUGAAUGCGGUGAAGUAGUGCCACCUGGCCGGUGAAGUGGCCGACAGCAGGAAUUCCGCCGUCGACAUCGUCGAGAUUCGCUUCAAGGGCCUGGAAGAUGCUCAACAACCAGAUCGUCAUCUCGUCCUCUCCAAGAGAAGGGGCCAACUCAAGCAGGUACAUCUGCUCGCUACAGCUCGCUCCUCCUCCCUUCUUCUCUAUUCCAUGGUUGAUUGUGUCAAACUUGAGCUGGUAGCUACUAUUCAGAUAUGUAAGUUAGAUUUCAUGUCCUGCCUCUCGGGUAUGUGCUUAUUGUGGUUGCAGUCCUGUCGACUGAAAUGUUGUUCUUGGAUGCUAAAUUAAUUUGGUUAUCCUAUCAGCUCCAAGUUUCCAGUUUAUAAUUAUAUAUGAGACAUAGCUGCUUUGUUGUUGGUUGUUCUGGUCGAUUCUUUUGUUUUCUGAUACUCUGCUUGUUGCGAUUUGAAUGCUACCUAUAUUGAUAUACUGGUAAUUGUUUGGUUGCCUCGGUUGUGAUUCUAAGAUUUCUUAUUUACUUUGAUUAUGAUGUUUGUUGUGGUUUAUUCUGCUACAUCUUUCUAUUUCAGGACUUUGUGUUGUUGGUUGGUCUGUGUUGUUGUUUUUUAUCGUCUUCAGGCGAGCCAUGCUCUUUCCCCUGUAUUUUGGUAUCUAUAUACCUGCGUCCUUCUAAUCUUUUUCAAACUGCCAUUUCCCCCCUUCUAGGUCUGUUGGGGUAUUUUUCUUUUAUUCCUUAAUUUGUCACAUGCAUCUUUUGCUUGCGUUAGUCGUUUGUGCCUCUUUUCGAGGCUCUUACUGCCAACUGCCUUUUCGUUCAUAUGUUCGCGAGUGACACGAUGGAUCUAUGCUUGGAGGGGUGGACCAAUGUAUAUGUCGCGCAAGAGACCAACUGAUCCCAAACAUUGUUUUUCUUUACUGUUCGCUAUGGCAGAUAUCGGGCAGGCAUCGUCUUCCUGUUUUGCCUGAGGUGUGCCUCAGCUGGGGCAUUUUGAAAUGUGCUAUUACUGUCGUGGUCUUUUCUUUUGCAACAUGGUAAUAUUUUUGUCAAUUUGGAGUUGUUUGGUCUGACUAUAUAUAUAUAUGUCUUUGGUAAUAUCAUGGAUUGGAACGAAAUGGCCUGCUCUGUUUAUAUGCCAGGAGGGCCUGUGUUCUACCCUACUCUUAUCAUGUUAGCUGAUUGUCCUGUCCCUCUGUUGGUAUGCUCAUGGACAAUUGUAUGUUAUCAUGUUAGCUGAUUGUCCUGCGUUGUAUUAGUAUAUACUCGAAUACAUGAAUUUUUUUCUCUUUGGCUACUGAAUUUUAUUGCUAUUCUUCUGCACACAUGUACAUGCGGCUCCGGUUCUAUUAUACUGUACAUCAGGUUCAGUAUUCACAAUUAUUUUCAUGAGUCCAAGGAUAGUUCUGUUUGGUGCCGUGUCCUGUAUGAUUAAUGGUCAUGAUUUAAUUACAAGUGAAAACAUUUGUAUCCGUUGAAACGCAAUGGUUUUCCCCCUGCAUUGUGAUAAUUAAUUUACAUUUGCAUUAUAGUAGGCUCCAAAUCCUAUUAAGUGUGAUACGAAUGGGAAUGGAAUAUUUAUGAAUAAGAAAGCUUUCUUACUCCUGUUGGAUUUUAUGUCGCAGCAAUAUCCCUGUUUUUGUUUCCCUGCAAGACUCGAGCUAUAUGUAAUAGUGCUAUAACUUUCAGCAUCUCCUAAAGUACAUCCUAAGUUGUACUCAAUCACCACUACUAUUUUAAUUUCCAUUGCAGCUUUCUGAAAUAAGUUUAUCCGUCUUGCUGAAUGUUAAAAAAACAGAAGGUAUCUUAAGUACAACCAUAGACUGCCUGCACAGUCCUUCCAAAGGAAAAAAAAAUCUGACUCGCUGUUUUGAUUGAGCAGCAUUGCUUUUCAGAUAAUAUAGGAGAGUGGAAGGUUCAUGCUCAUUUUUCUUUUUUGUAUUUUUUCUUGUUCAUACUUAUACUAUUUAUUCUUGCAAAUAUGCACUAUUGAAAUAGAAAGAUCAUCUUGUGUUGUUCAGACCCAUACACUUAUCCUGCAAUAUGUGAAGGAAUGCUUAUAUUGGCAUCUUGCUGUAGAAAAUGGUUAGCUUAGCAGCAACUAUUGUGUCUUCUAAUUAUGUCGCCUCAAAUUUGUAGAAACGCUAUUGUUGCUUUCGAAAUGCUAUUGAAUCUUAUCAAAUUUUUUGGACCUGUUAUUCAUUCAACAUUGUCAGUUAGCUCACUCGUUGGAGUAGAACUUCAAGCCGAACAGAGGUAUGCUCUCCAACUUUACUCGGGGAAGGGAACUGGGUGUUGCUAAGAGAGAUGUUUUAAAAACUUGUGUUGCUACAAGCCACUAAGGAACUCGGUCUGAGGUGGCGAGUUGGUCGCGAACUUAUGUUUUGCUUAUACUGGUCCUGUCCCUGAUAAGGGUGUGUGUAUCGAGUGUUUGCCAAUUUAGUUCUGGCAUGUUGAGUCCAUGGACAAGUAUGGAUUAUUCUCUAUAACUUUAGCCAAUUUAGGAGACAACCGCUGUUUUCCUGCACAUUUGCAUAUAGUUUCAGUCGCUAUGAUAGUAAACUUGCUCUCAACGACUCCGAUCUUACAAAAUGUUAGGUCUCCUUAGUUCCAAAUAUGGUUUUACAGGUUCUAAAAUUAUUUCUUUGAUGCGAGGUGCCAUGCUGUGGAUAACAAGGAGAUUAUCAAGGCGGAGCGGCGGUGAGUAUGGAGCUCAUAAUCAUCAGUUCAUCACCAUGAAGCAGAAGGAAUGGUAUAGCUUUGCCAUGCUGGACUUUGGCAGCCGCUGCUCCUCGGCAAUCAACAGGAGGUACAGCCGCUGCCACCACUCCUUCGCAGCGACGCAGGCCAGCGACGAGGAGGCUCGCAAUGGUGGGGGACACAUCACCAUCUUCCAGAGAGGAGAAAGGCAUACCUACCCCUUAACGAUUGAAAUGCAGGUCCAGGGAAAACAUCUGUACUACUAUUGGGCCAAUUGAUGCUAGGUGCACAUUGAGAUGUUUUAGAAAAAUAGAUCCUUGAUGCCGGACAUAGUGCAAUGGUGAGAUCCACUUAUUUAUGAUGGCGAGGAUGAUUGUUAGGCUGGCAUGUGGAGCUGUACUAAUAAGCUAUGAGAAGGUCCUCACAUCACAACACCCGGGCAAGUCUGGCAAGGCUUGCUCGCCAUGGCCUACCACAUCGGCGAGACGGAUCGAGCACGUGAUCACCAUCAGCAGGUCUUUCGUCACAACACCCGAGCUAGCGAGAUGUUCAGACAAAGUUAUAUGAUACACUGCUAUUGACAUAUGUCGUAGAUGGACAGUACAUAUCGUUUCUCUCCAUGUUACAAUUUCUGUGACCUCGGCAUUUGGAAGACAUGUCAUCCGAAUCGUCUAUCAUGACCGAACCAUUACUAUCACAAGCAUCUUACUUUUAGAAAUCCAUAUGAUGGUUCAGUUAUCUAUAUUAUGUGUGCCAUUUGUUACCUCUGAAAUAUAUAUUAUGUGUGCCCUGUCA